rnacentral:rRNA from 1 species
UACGAAGGGUGCAAGCGUUACUCGGAAUUACUGGGCGUAAAGCGUGCGUAGGUGGUUCGUUAAGUCUGAUGUGAAAGCCCUGGGCUCAACCUGGGAACUGCAUUGGAUACUGGCGAUCUGGAGUGCGGUAGAGGGCUGGCGGAAUUCCCGGUGUAGCAGUGAAAUGCGUAGAUAUUGGGAGGAACACCGGUGGCGAAGGCGACCGCCUGGACGGAGACUGACGCUGAGGCGCGAGAGCGUGGGGAGCAAACAGG